rnacentral:rRNA from 1 species
AACGAACGCUGGCGGCAGGCCUAACACAUGCAAGUCGAGCGAAGCCUUCGGGCUUAGCGGCGGACGGGUGAGUAACGCGUGGGAACGUGCCCUUUGGUACGGAAUAGCCCCGGGAAACUGGGAGUAAUACCGUAUGUGGUCGAGAGACGAAAGAUUUAUGCGCCAAAGGAUCGGCCCGCGUUGGAUUAGGUAGUUGGUGGGGUAAUGGCCUACCAAGCCGACGAUCCAUAGGCGGUUUGAGGGGAUGAUCAGCCACACUGGGACCGGGACACGGCCCAGACUCCUACGAGACGCAGCAGUGGGGAAUCUUAGACCAUGGGGGAAACCCUGAUCUCGCCAUGCCGCGUGAUCGAUGAAGGCCUUAGGGUUGUAAAGAUCUUUCAGUGGGGAAGAUAAUGACUGUACCCACAGAAGAAGCCCCGGCUAACUCCGUGCCAGCCGCCGCGGUAACAC